GAUGAACGCUGGCGGCGUGCCUAAUACAUGCAAGUCGAGCGAACAGACGAGGAGCUUGCUCCUCUGACGUUAGCGGCGGACGGGUGAGUAACACGUGGAUAACCUACCUAUAAGACUGGGAUAACUUCGGGAAACCGGAGCUAAUACCGGAUAACAUGUUGAACCGCAUGGUUCAACAGUGAAAGACGGUCUUGCUGUCACUUAUAGAUGGAUCCGCGCCGCAUUAGCUAGUUGGUAAGGUAACGGCUUACCAAGGCAACGAUGCGUAGCCGACCUGAGAGGGUGAUCGGCCACACUGGAACUGAGACACGGUCCAGACUCCUACGGGAGGCAGCAGUAGGGAAUCUUCCGCAAUGGGCGAAAGCCUGACGGAGCAACGCCGCGUGAGUGAAGAAGGUCUUCGGAUCGUAAAACUCUGUUAUUAGGGAAGAACAAAUGUGUAAGUAACUAUGCACGUCCUGACGGUACCUAAUCAGAAAGCCACGGCUAACUACGUG
rnacentral:rRNA from 1 species